rnacentral:SRP_RNA from 1 species
GCCGGGCGUGGUGGAGGCGCCUGUAAUCCCAGCUACUCAGGAGGCUGAGGCAGGAGAAUGGUGUGAACCCGGGAGGCGGAGCUUGCAGUGAGAUCGCGCCACUGCACUCCAGCCUGGGCCACAGAGCAAGACUCCAUCUCAAAAAAANUUUUUUUGAGAUGGAGUCUUGCUCUGUGGCCCAGGCUGGAGUGCAGUGGCGCGAUCUCACUGCAAGCUCCGCCUCCCGGGUUCACGCCCUUCUCCCGCCUCAG